rnacentral:rRNA from 1 species
GACGAACGCUGGCGGCGUGCCUAAUACAUGCAAGUCGAGCGCAGGAAACUGACGGAACUCUUCGGAGGGAAGGCAGUGGAAUGAGCGGCGGACGGGUGAGUAACACGUAAGGAACCUGCCUCAAGGAUUGGGAUAACUCCGAGAAAUCGGAGCUAAUACCGGAUAGUUCAACGGACCGCAUGGUCCGCUGAUGAAAGGCGCUUCGGCGUCACCUUGAGAUGGCCUUGCGGUGCAUUAGCUAGUUGGUGGGGUAACGGCCCACCAAGGCGACGAUGCGUAGCCGACCUGGGCGGGUGAUCGGCCACACGGGGACUGAGACACGGCCCAGACUCCUACGGGAGGCAGCAGUAGGGAAUCUUCCACAAUGGACGAAAGUCUGAUGGAGCAACGCCGCGUGAGUGAUGAAGGUUUUCGGAUCGUAAAACUCUGUUGUAAGGGAAGAACACGUACGAGAGGAAAUGCUCGUACCUUGACGGUACCUUACGAGAAAGCCACGGCUAACUACGUGCCAGCCGCCGCAGUAA